AUGAGGAAUAUUGGACAAUGGGCGCAAGCCUGAUCCAGCCAUCCCGCGCUGCAGGAUGACUGCCCUAUGGGUUGUAAACUGCUUUUCUACAGGAAGAAACCUAUCCUCGUGAGGGUAGCUGCCGGUACUGUAGGAAUAAGCAUAGGCUAACUCCGUGCCAGCAGCCGCGGUAAUAAU
rnacentral:rRNA from 1 species